rnacentral:rRNA from 1 species
AGAGUUUGAUCAUGGCUCAGGAUGAACGCUAGCGGCAGGCUUAACACAUGCAAGUCGAGGGGCAGCAUAAUGGAUAGCAAUAUCUAUGGUGGCGACCGGCGCACGGGUGCGUAACGCGUAUGCAACCUACCUUUAACAGGGGGAUAACACUGAGAAAUUGGUACUAAUACCCCAUAAUAUCAUAGAAGGCAUCUUUUAUGGUUGAAAAUUCCGAUGGUUAGAGAUGGGCAUGCGUUGUAUUAGCUAGUUGGUGGGGUAACGGCUCACCAAGGCGACGAUACAUAGGGGGACUGAGAGGUUAACCCCCCACACUGGUACUGAGACACGGACCAGACUCCUACGGGAGGCAGCAGUGAGGAAUAUUGGUCAAUGGACGCAAGUCUGAACCAGCCAUGCCGCGUGCAGGAUGACGGCUCUAUGAGUUGUAAACUGCUUUUGUACGAGGGUAAACGCAGAUACGUGUAUCUGUCUGAAAGUAUCGUACGAAUAAGGAUCGGCUAACUCCGUGCCAGCAGCCGCGGUAAUUC